GCGUCCAUUGUCUAAUGGAUAGGACAGAGGUCUCUAAACCUUUAGUAUAGGUUCAAAUCCUAUUGGACGCA
rnacentral:tRNA from 1 species